UACGUAGGGUGCAAGCGUUGUCCGGAAUUAUUGGGCGUAAAGAGCUCGUAGGCGGUCUGUCACGUCGACUGUGAAAACCCGCGGCUUAACUGCGGGCUUGCAGUUGAUACGGGCAGGCUAGAGUUCGGUAGGGGAGACUGGAAUUCCUGGUGUAGCGGUGAAAUGCGCAGAUAUCAGGAGGAACACCGGUGGCGAAGGCGGGUCUCUGGGCCGAUGACUGACGCUGAGGAGCGAAAGCGUGGGGAGCGAACAGG
rnacentral:rRNA from 1 species